rnacentral:lncRNA from 1 species
GGAAAGGGAGGGCUGAAACCCAGGAGGGGGAGCUGGGAGAAGGACUCUGGCUUGUCUCCUUUGGGGAAGAGUGAAGAGGAAUUUGGGUGGCACCUGGAGUCUCGGGUUUGUGGUGCUGAAAUGGCUCCUGAGUCACUGGAGCUGCUCACACACCGGAUCCUCCUGCCAGAGGAAAAUGAUGCUCCUGCUGCCCACCUGGAGUCAGAGGUGCCUGCAACAACAUCCUGCCCCAUCACUGCAGGGAAGUGGGAUGCUGUGAGAGCAUCACCUGGCCGGGCAUGGCAGGAUGGAUGUCCAGGAUCACAAACUCUCUGGGAGAGAAACCAAGCUGCCACAAACACCAAUUUUUACUGCUACAAAUGUCCUUCUCCUUUCCCUCCCAGAGCAGGACAAGAUGGACCAGUGACCCAGGAGCAGGGGAUGGGGCACUGGGGAGGCUCUCACUGAGGCAGCCACAGAGCUGGAACGCUGGCUGGAGAGUGGAAAUUCCCACUGGGACAAAGUGAACAUGAUGGAUGGCACUCCCAUUGCCCAUCCCCACAGCUCACCUCCUCCCAUCUCUCUUCACUUAGCUCUUUCUCCUUAUCCUUUGUUUUAUUAAGGUUUAAGAUUUUUUUUGGUGGCUAAAGAUAUUCUGUCCCUUUUUGGGUACAGAAUCACCCAGAGAGACCCGGUUUACACCAAGGCCAAACACAGCCCUGCCCAUCCCCACCCUGCAGCCUCCACGGAGGUGCACAUCCCAAAUUCCAGCCUGAAGAUGCCCCUGAAGCCGGGCUGCUCAGAGGGUGAGGGGCUGGAGGGGGGGUCCUGCCGCCUCUCCCGGCUCCCACAAGGUGGCAGAUCUCCAUAAUUGUUUUAUCCUGCUCAGAAGCCCACCGGCAGCAGCUGCUCUGCCUGGAGGGCAGCUGAGCCCCAGCGAGCUGUUUUCCAUCAAUAAGAUGGUUCUUUUGCUCAUGUAAACUGUGGGGGUUUUUUUUAUGAAAUGAAAUGAAUAUGCCUGUAUAAAUUAUCAAAAAGCAGCACAAAAAUAUCUAGGACGAGGCAGAGUGAAAUCCUGGCUGGGUGAUUGCAGAGUUCAGAGCAGACACGUGGCAAAGCAGGAGGAUGCCGGCGAGGCAGAAACCCAGGAGGGAGCAGAGAGGUUGUUCAACAAGGUUCAGAAGGUGGGGAGGAGAUUUAGAGAUUAGGCCAGAUCAAAAGGAUAAUUAUUUUUGUUACAUUUCCCUAUCUGCAUCACUCCACCGGUUCUGCCAGCGGCCGAGAGCCCAGGUUGAUUCUCGAGUUUCCUGGUGUAAGGAACAUGUCUCUAAAGCCUCAGCAAUAAAUUCCAACCUUUCAUCA